AAGACGCUAAAGCAUCCAGAGGUCAAGUGACUUGCUCCAGGUCACACACAGUGAAUUGGGAAUAAAACAGGUCUCAGCCACCUACUUCUCUGCUCGAACAGUUAACUAGGGCUCCUUCCGGUCAACAGCCUGGACUCCGGAAGGCAGAUAGCCAGAAUUCGCCGCUUCCCACCUUUCCCCGAGACUUCCAGCAGUAAUAGACAGUAAUAGCCUAAGACAAAUCAGCCCAUUCCUGUAAAAAUAGAAACACAAAAUCCUGAAGUCCCACGAAAGCCAUAAAGAAGUUCCCCACCCCACACUUUGUGGUGCUGCGAAAGGAUGUAACGCAAUACAGGACAUUACCACACUCCUUUCUUCUUUGGAGGAUUCUCCCCUCAAGACUUCAGUGCCACAGAGGGAAGGAGCUGUGCAGAGACCAUCCAGUUCACUGACUACUCCAUGGAACUCAAGAACAAUGUUCAUUAGAAAGGAUAAAGGGAAGCAAUCUGUAGCCUCCUCUCUCCCCCACCCCCUGCAGUUUCUCAUCUCAACAGGCAUACAGGGCUGCCUUGUCAGAAUACACUGAAAAACAACUGGCUAUUCACGCAUAGAAAGGUGUUCCUUAAAAGCGUCCCAUCAAUGUACUGGCCCUGUGCUGGAAUGUGAGAUUUGAUGGGAUCAAAUACAGAGAAAUUUUGUUUCAAGGAAGCAAGCAUCUUGUGCAAAGCUUUCAAAAUGUAAGAGUCCUGGAUGAACUACAAGCAAUCUAGGUAAGAAGAGUUGGAUAAGAAUAUCUCUGAAGUUUAUUAAUUAAACUCAUAACUGGCCAGAAAGUUUGGAGUCUGGGCCAACCCCACCCCAAAGGCUGAGAGUGUUGACAAGAUAGAAUUUCUAGUCUCUGAUGGCCUGAGAAGCAAGAUGCCAAGUCUUCUGCAUAGCAGUGAGUGGCAUACAGAUGCUGGGCCAGCCCAACUUUGCAACUUUAAUAUUCAUAAAGUGGAGCUGUUCUAGCUAAUGAUUUGAUCAUAUUAGAUGUUUUGGAACAAAGUUUUAAAAUUUUCAUACACCGAUCAAGUAACUGCAUGUCGAACUGAUCUUUAUUUGUAGACAAAAAUGACAAGUUUUGCCCAUUGCAUUUUGUAGAUACAAGUUUAGAGACCAGUUUUGAAAAUUUUGCCCUGUACUAGGACUGGGUGAAUAAUAUGCAAUCUGGUAAAUUCUGUUUAUUUCAGUUGUAUGAAAUAUUUAAAACCUUUAAUUGUUACUUGCUUAAAUUUAGAUUUAAUCAACAGAUUGUAAGGAAUAAAUCUCUCAAAGAGCUCUUUGAAGAGUUUCUGAAGCUAUUUUACAAAAUCAAAAUUUCUGCUAUUUAAUAUGUUUUCAGAAUACCACAGGUGACUGUACAUGACUUACCAGAUGUUUCUUCUUUUUAAAGAUUCAAGUUACGUCUGAGUUAUAAAUACUUUUUAAAAAAACCACAGCCAACUCAAGUUUUGGGUGAAAUAUGGCUAGAUAGUAGUUCCUUAUACGAUAAAUUUAACAGAGUAAAUGCUCAUGGUUGAAUUAUAAUUUUCUUAAGAUCAGAGAUGUAUAACAGAACUAAGAUCAUGUUCUUAACAGUGUAUAUGAGAGAGUUGUUAACCAGUGAGUAGGCAUCUUUUAACACUCCCCCGUCCAUUAAUCCUCCAAAAGUAUUUAAUUUCUUCCCAAUAACAAAAAUAUUUUCAACAUCGUGGUCCACUUGAGCAAAUGUUAAUCUUCCCCAUAGUUCAGCAUAUGUUGUAGAUGCUCUGCACAUCACUACUGGUGCCUGAGAUUAUUAAUAUUGCUUUUCCAAUCAGUAAAGUUAGUAACAGUAAACCCUUGGCAUUAGUAGGAAUAAAGCUAAAUGUACAUUUCAAUAAUUAAUUUUGUGGCUAUAAACAGCUAUAUUGUAUUCCCACUGACAAUAACAGGGAAGCCCUAGGCUACCCAGCAAUCACACUUUCCUCUUGUAUCUAUACAAUGAAAAGCAUUCCCACCUGAGAACUCCAUCUUGGGUUCCCUUGUGAAACAGAGCUAGAUGAGAAAGAUGUGUUCUGCUGUAUAUUUCUCUGAUCAAGCCCUUGCUUUUACUUGGACCAAAUGAUGAAAAACACAAUCCAGCUUCUUUUCUCCCCAGCAGUAUUUAAUUACCUCUAAGGCCUGUAGUAAAAGCUUUGGCUCAUUGACUAAUUGAGAACACUUGCCCUAGUCUGCAGUUAGUAAGAAUAUCCCCUUUUAAAAUAUGUCCUUAUACUCUUCCAUGGAAAGGUGGGUUUACUCUUAAUCAGCCAAGAGCUCAGGAACUGCACAAAUUAAAGUAUAUGCAGGUUAUCUUCUUGCUUUAGGGGAUAUUCACCACUGUCUGUGUUCUUGUGGAGUAAUAAUAAGAUACCAUAACCAAACAGUAGAAGAUGCAUGUCAGAUGGUUUUCCAAUAACAUUAGAGGAGAAAAAAGCAACUGAUGUAUGGGAUAUUGAAGGCAGAUUAAGUUGUUAAUGUAUAUUAGUAUAUUCUUAAUUUCCUUUUAAUUGAAAAAGACAUAUUGACUUUAAUUAGAACCAUUUCACAGGAACUGUCAAUUAGCACAUGUCAAAGUAGUUAAUUCAGAACAGAAUUGUUUUAAUUAGGGUCUGCUUUCCUUUAACUGUGGGGCCAACGAAAUCAGCCUUUCCUUAUCAAGGUUUUAAAUGUCUCUAAGACAUACAAUACAAGUGUAGUCUCUUAUCUAUUAUUAGAAGCCCAUAUGGAUAACAUUAAAAUGAUGAUGCUGGCAUUGUUCAUGAAGCACAAAUCACAGUUUCUUUUAUUACUGUUUGAAAAAAAAGAUGGCUUUGAACAAAGACCAUUUUAAAUACACAGAUUUAUCCUACUUUUAAGAGACUACAAAAUGUAUGACAUACAUGUUCUCAUGUAAAGUAUUAUUUAAUAUGUCUGCUCAAAUAAAUGGGUCUAGUCAAAUGUUUUGUGUGUUCUAUCAGCCAAAGACACAUAAAACAUUGUCAAAGCAUGCGGUAACAUUUUCCCCUUAAAUGAAUUAUAAUCAAAAAGAGAAAACCGUCUCAGUGAUUAUUUUGGACAAUAUAAAACCAGCAUUGUUAACUUUCAUUGUAUGCAGAGAUGUAACACCAAUUGCUAAUACAGUGGCUGAAAACACUAGUGAGCUAAUGUGUUCUCAGUAAUCAGACAGUCUGAGUCUUGACUUUCACAGUAUAGUUUCUAAAUAUGCCUGAGGUGACUGAUGUACCUUGAUUCCUAGCUGGCACAAGUAAGGCCCUCCAUCUUUGUCUACCAGCAGGUGCUGUGAACUGUAGUAUUGGUAUACCAUCAAGUAAAAGAACAGCAGAGGAAAAUAUAGCAAAAAUGUAAAAAGUAUUAAUGUGAAAUCUAGACUUCGCAUUAUCAUAUGAGGGUUAGCCACUGUUUUACUGACCUACAUCAAUUGAGGAUUACAGAGAUUAGUGGAAGGAAUACUUAAUAGCUGAACUGUGGAUUCCAAAGAGGAUUAUCUGGUAAGAUAUUUUAUGUAUCCUGAUGCUUUAUUGAACUUAUUAAGGGCCUGAUUAACUCAACAAUAACAGUAACAUCAUUUUCCAAAAUGGAGUAUGAUAUGAGUAUACUAAAAUUAAAAGUAUACCAGAAGUAUAUUUCAUCUAGUAUGUUAAUCAUACUGUGUUCUUGUACUGGAACUAUUUUGGUAUAUGAACUGUAAUACAAAUUGCAGGAAGCCUUGUGAUUAAAAACACUUAUGUAAGAUUUUUACAAAUCCUGGAGAAGUAGGUGAACUUUCACUUGACAACCUCUUGAAUUGAAUAACUGGAAUUCUACUGAAGCCUGGGUUUUCUGGAAAUCACUACAGACAUCAAAAAAAGCCUCUUCAAACACUGUAGUUUACUGCUUACCAUUCUACAGGAGGUGUAGUUUGAGCACAACUUAACAAUUGUAUCAUUACUUUUUAUGUUACCUAUUUACAAUUAUAUGUUAGAAUAAGACCCUUAUAUUCAUUCAUUAAUCCUAUUGUGGCCCAUUUUAAAUCUCUACUUAUCAGUUUAAAUACUUACCAUAAUUUAGAAUUCUUCUUUAAGCAGAUCUAAGGCACAUUGGCACUGAAAUGCAUAAUCCAUCCUCUUUUAUACCACAGCAGAAACAAUGCUUUGGAUUCUGAACAUAUAAAUUUGCUUGCUCUAUAUUAUGUAUUUCAAAAAUUAACAAUAGCCAUAUUUGUAUCACCCAUGUUUUAAUAUCACUCUAAUACCUGUUGUGGAUAUGAAGUUUUGGCAUACUUACAAUAUAGCUAUGCGGUAUAAAGCAAUUGUCAUUGCCAUUACCAUAUUCAGAUCAUUAUGACUGUAGGAAACUAUAUUUUAUAGUCUGGACAAAUUAGGCUUAAAAACUAAUCAGUCACCACAACACCCUUAAGAGGUAAGCAGUAACAUAUUCUUAUCCCUAUUUUAGAGAUGGGACAACUGAGAGAGUUAAAGAGAGAAAUGACCUACCCAAGUCACAAAACAAGUCAAUCCAGGAUCAGAACUCAAGAGCUUUUGGCUCUCAGCUCCACACGCAUUACUUUGGAUCAUGCCAUCUUGCUGCCAAUAUACUAAUAACAAUUUACUGCACAUCUCAAUACAGUGCACUACGUUCUGUGUACUUAAGCAGGACAAUGCAUUUUUCCCCUCAUUAAUACUAAGUCUAUUUGUUGCUCAGCAGGAUUAAUAUUUAUACAUUCUGCAUCGUGUGAUGAAGUAGCAAGCUCUGAUUUCAGUUAAAUCUCACAGGUUCUCAUAGCAAAAUGUCAUUAUAGAACUUCAAAAGCAUUUGCUCCAUAGCAAGAUCUUUACAAUUAUCUAUAUAAUAUCUUUCAGCUCCUGUUGGCUCCUUGAUUUUCUGUGGAAAUCUCAACUCCUCUGCCAGUUUUGGAUUAUGAAAAGUUGACCCUUAAGGCAUAACUAUUUUAAAAAAGAUAUGCCCAAACGUUACAAGAUAUAGUAGAUUUCACCCAGUUUGAUAUCUUUUCUGGAACACACACUUAAUAAAAAUUGCAUUUUUACUAAGUAAUUGGCCAUAUGAAUCAUGCGCUAUUCAUGUAUUGUUCAUGAAUCAAACCAAGAGCCAUUUAAAAAUGACUAGCAUCAGGGCAACUUAAUAGGUUUUCAACAGAUUAUUUAAAUGACUGUAGCUAUGAUUUCCAAUAAUUUUUAUCCAAAUAGCAAGGCUUUAGUAAGCUGUUGCAGGACUCUCUCCGAAAAGAGUAACUUUCUGAUUAAAACCUUUUUGUUACUGGAUUUAAGAAAUUAAAGAAAAAAGGGGAACUUCUGAGUUAUGUAUGCAUCUGUCAAAUGCUGGAUCUUUAUAGUGUAACAAUUUGACCAAUCACAGGUAAAAGCACUGGUGGUUUGAAGGGAUAUUUCACUUUAUGAAUCAUAGCUAAUAAUGUAGUUAAGUACUUUCUGAACAGGCACUUCCUGAAGACUGACCAACCUGUAGAUUGUGUUCCUAGUAGUUUCCGGUGCAAUCGUUUGGCAUGAACGAUGCAUUGGGAGAGUGAUAUGCCAGUACUCCAGCAGCAAUUUAUCUGGGAUUUCUUAUUACAGAUUAGCACCAUUUCUAAUUCCUUGAUUGGUUGAUUGACUGUACUAUAAAGCCAGAUGUAUUUCACAGCAUCAUCUAUAUUCACCUGUUUCUUUUCUUGUUGUUGUGGCUUGCAUCCUUGACCUGAUUUUGCCAAUGGCUACCUGGUCUCUCAACACACUGUUGCUUUUCAGGAAUAUUUUCUAAUGACAACUAUAGUUAUUGUUUAUAUUUAUACUGUAAAAUUACACUUAACUAUUUACAAUUUCAAAAAGCUGCACAACAUUCAUUAAUUUGCCAAAUAAAAUCACUAUGGGGUAGACAAAUAGGAUCAUUAUCCCCACGUUAUAGAUGAGGAAAUUGAGGCUGAAAGAUUAAAUGUCUUGCCCAGUGUCACAUGGCAAGUCUAGUGGCAGAAGGGGGGUUAAACUAAAAGUUAUCCAUUCUGGGUGCAUUCCUCUAGACCAGGGUCUCUCAUAUUUGUUUAAUAGUGUAGACCACAUCUUAAAGAGGGAUUCACUUGUGGACUCCUUCCUUCUCACUCAGAAUCCCAUGUGAUCUCAACUACAGAAAUUGUUUACAUAGAAAAGUAAUAUUAGGAAAGUGCCAGCCUCAUGUGACCAGCCAGCAACUCCCUGGUCACCAGCAAGUACUCUGUAGACCACCAGCAGUUCACUGAUCACAGUCUGAGAAUCACUACUUUAGCACUAUAUUUUCAGGUUUAUUCCUCUAGGUCAAAUUGCCUCAUGGUACAGCAAUGUUAACUAAUCCUUUAUUAAACAAUUCUUCAAGCACAAAUAAAGCAUUUGGGUUGUUAACAUACAUAAGUUAUAUUAAAGAAGGUUUCAGAUCGGCACAUUGUAUUUUGUAGCAAAGUCAUAAAAUAUGCUAACAUGAUAACAUCUAAUGAGGGAAAUGUUGCAUGCAGAUGUCUGUUUGCCUAUUAUCCCAUAAAAUGACUGUAUAUUUUUAUUUAUAUGAGUAACAUCAGACACAAAUGUGUUACCAUAAAUGCAUUCAUUUAGGAAAAUGUAUAAACACAAUAUGAAUCUAAUAUAUAUGUAAAACUGUUUUAAAACCUGAUAUUUAAUGUUUAUAAAAAGAAUAAAGAUGAAAAAAAUGUCCAUAAUUA